CCUACGGGAGGCAGCAGUGAGGAAUAUUGGUCAAUGGACGAGAGUCUGAACCAGCCAAGUAGCGUGAAGGAUGACUGCCCUAUGGGUUGUAAACUUCUUUUAUAUGGGAAUAAAAUGUUCCACGUGUGGGAUUUUGUAUGUACCAUAUGAAUAAGGAUCGGCUAACUCCGUGCCAGCAGCCGCGGUAAUACGGAGGAGCCGAGCGUUAUCCGGAUUUAUUGGGUUUAAAGGGAGCGUAGGUGGAUUGUUAAGUCAGUUGUGAAAGUUUGCGGCUCAACCGUAAAAUUGCAGUUGAAACUGGCAGUCUUGAGUACAGUAGAGGUGGGCGGAAUUCGUGGUGUAGCGGUGAAAUGCUUAGAUAUCACGAAGAACUCCGAUUGCGAAGGCAGUUCACUGGACUGCAACUGACACUGAGGCUCGAAAGUGUGGGUAUCAAACAGGAUUAGAGACCCCAGUAGUC
rnacentral:rRNA from 1 species